rnacentral:lncRNA from 1 species
GCUCUUUCUCAUCUCAUUUAGAUAUUUUGUUUGUAUGUGGUUGAAAAAAGGCAAGUUAGCUCACUGUCACUGCUCAGCAAGACAGAUUGUAUUUGGUGUUGUGUCAUCCAACCAUGAUUAAACUCUGUGGAGACCAUGGAUUUAGAAAAACCAUUUAGAAGGUGAGCAAGAACAAACAAUGUGAUUAAAGGGAACUGCCAAAAACCGUACGAGUGUCAGCUGCCACCACUGCUCAUUACAUGGAUGAAGAAGUUGACUUUUAAUUUAUAGACAAUUUGAGAAAGAGUACAUGAAGACUUGAAAAGGAAGCUUUCUUUUGCUAAAAGGAAAAAGGAAAACUGUUAUUAAGAACCUCUGCUGAACUGCAUUGAUAAGUAGAUGAUGAUGUGUUGAAUCGAUGUUGAUGAAGACUAUAUUUUGGAAACUUCAGUUAGAGCCAAAGAAUGUUUCCAUUGCGAAGCAGAGGACAUAAGAUCAAAAUAGCCACUGUCUUCUUGGGCUUUACUGACUGCAAAAAUAGAAGAUCUGCUGAGUGUUGA